GACGCGGUAGCCUAAUGGUUACUGUGUUGGACUCCGGAUCGAGUGGUUUCCAAGGGUUUGAGCCCUGGCCUGGGUCA